AAAUUAAAAUAUACACAACUAACUUUGUAAGAGACAUUAACAAUUUAUACAUAUUCACAAUCGUUGCCAACAAGGUCAUAACCAACCCUUACAUAAAUCCGAACACUAGUUUGCAAGCCUCUAUGAGUUCCAAAUAUAUUUAUAAACACAACUUGGUUAGCACAGGGCCCCACCAUACCCAUAAUGACUGGAACAUACACUUCAGUACCUAUUAACUUCUGAACAACUACUCCGAAGAAGUAGAGUGCGACAACCAACUACUGAAAUGAGCACCCUACCAGGAAGGGACAUCAUCGGGCCUAUCUGUACCUGUGGGCAUGAACACAGCUCCCAAAAGAAAGGAGCAUGAGUACAAAAGAAGUACCGAGUAUAUAAAGGUGAUAAUAUACAUGUAAAUUGAAGACAUAACAUAAGAAGUAUGAGUACACAACUUCAACCUGAAUAUCGAAGAAAGGCCUCCAGGGACGCACACUACGGAAACCAUGAAUCUCAAAUGUAUGCAAGUUUUGUAAAAAGUGAGGCCACUCCUUGUGGUUGUGCAUUAAAUAUUAUAGUAUUAUUUCAUCGCUCUUUGGGGCAUAUCAUAUCAUAUAUAAUACCUGGCCUCAAGAGAUCUCGGUUGUACCCAGUCUCAAUAGAACAUGGUGUACCCUGUCUCAAAAGGACUCGGUCGUACCUGACCACACAAGGGAUCAGUAAUAUCUCAUAUCACAUCACUCCGUACCUGACCUCAUAGAGGACUCGGUCGUACCCGGCCUCAACAAGACUCAGCGUAGUCGGCCUCAAGAGGACUCGAUAGCCUCAUAUCACAUGUCACGUUUCAUCAUACCCAACUGAUCAGGGGUUGUACAAUAGGCACCGUACCCCGGCCGAUAUAGCAUGACUCAGUAAAGUAAAAUAGAUACAUAUGUAUAUAAGUGCAAUGCAAGAGACAUUAAGAUUAAACUCAUAAUGAAUCAUAUUUUUCGACCUCCGGAUACUAUCUGGGAACAUCUCAAAUAGCAGGAGCAGUGGGCUUCAGACUUUUAGAUGCGCGGGUACAAGAUUUUGGCCUGAGUUUUUUUGAGUACUCAACAGGGCCAAUGGUUGUACAUGUUAAAAAAGAGAGAGAAGGUCAUUAGAUAUAAUACUAUAUGCAUACAAUCAUAUAUGAAAUAUAUAAGUAAAUGACUUGAAUAAAUAUCAACCAAUAGUCAUUUGAAUUAUGAAAGUUAUACUAAUGUGGGGUCACAUAUGGUAAACUGAUUCACAUUGAAAACCUUUCAAUGUCAUUAACCACUAAACCUAAAAGGAGUAAUGAAUGUCAAUGGAUUAGAGACUAAGGGUAGAGUUCCACUCAAGGUCAAGGCUCCCUGACACUUCAAAGUACCCAAGGGUCUCAAGGCCCAGGGCAGUGCUUGUGUCAAGGAGAGUAGCCCAACAAAGAGCUAAACUCUAUUCCCAAAUACCCCUAAUAACUCACACUCACUCUUCCCCACGUGUUUAAGUGCCAAUGAGUCACUUUCAAUGUAAAGACCAAUCACCACAAUAAUACCAUACCACAAAAGUAUACACCUUUCCAAUGAUGGUCAAAGCAGAACAUUAUAAGACUGCAAGAUAAUCUGUCUACAUUAUCAUAACCAUAUUUCAAAGCUAAAUGGAUAAUGCACUAUGAGUAACAUGUUAAGAAGGUUCAAAAUAAAUAAACUUCAAACAUACAUAGAGGCGGGGACAUCAUAUUACUGUUAAAGAAUCAAACACCUGAAAUCAUAUAUCUUAAGGACUAUAUAGUCCAAGUCUGCAACAGUCUAUGAAUACAUGUACAUUUUGUCUUAACAGCCUUCAUUUAUACUAACCAAUGAUUGAUUUUAACUUAAGUUUUGCCCUCUAGCAUAUACAAGUCAACAGUUCUAAAAAGUGUUAACAAAUAUGUGGACUAACAGUUUCAAGUAAACAUCUGAUGAGCAUUAGGUGAGUGCAAAUUAAAAGCUACAAUUAGAGCUUACAAAAGUAUUAACAGCAUUACAGGUUCAACACUACCGCUGGUAUUUCCUAAAGAGUGCUAAUACCGGCAUAGAUCAGCAACUUCAAUUAUAAAUACAUAUCUGUAGCCUCAAUUAAAAGGCACAUGCUGAUAACUUCAGAUAGAACAUUCAAAGAUUAUUGAAAAAGAUUCAGAACAACAAUUCACAGUUAGGGCUCUUACGGGUAUUACCAGAGAGGCCAGACUACAACCAGAGUUUCUAAAAGCACUAACAGGGUUACAGAUUCUCAACCUAAAAUAGAACUUCUAGGAAUAUUAACAGGAUUACAAUUUAGCAAGCUACAAUUAGUCUUGCUUAACUUUAAAAUCAAUGACAUAGUCACUUCUUCCUAAUUAACUCACACUAAUCUAUCUCAAUAAGAACAAAAUAUGUUGUUAUAUCUAAGCAGUAGCAAUAAGUAAUUCUCUUUAGAGUUCACAAGCUAAGUCUAAUCCAUUUAGGGGAGCUUAGUGAGGUUUCAAAGACAAUGCAGGCAUGUAUGUAGACAUGAAGGACAGACAGAGGCACUGAAGCACAAAAUGAGUGUAGGACUCUCAAGAGAUAGCAUUCAAGUACAUACAUGAGAUGUUCUAAUCAAGGUUAUAACAUUACAAACAGGUUUGGGUUUCAAAUAUCAUGAAGUCAAGUCAAUAAUAUCAUUAAAGGACUCAGAACAAUGGAGAAUUUAAAAUUAGUAGAUCUGGUUUAGCUGUACAGGUUAUUGGUGACGAUCUAGACAUGGUAAAGUUCUAUUCAGCCUACCAACAUAACAGUUAAUGCUCAAUCACAACAGAUGCAAUUAUAGCCCUACUCCUAUGUGAUAACAUGAGCUGAAUGAGUAGCAAUUGGUAGAACACAUACAAGAAUAGGUGCAGAAUUUCAUUAGAGUUUAGCCCAGUUGCCUUGUGGUGCUGUCUUAUGCAAUAAGACUUACAGAAGUGAUCAAUAGUUAUAGAAAUAUAAAUACCUUUACAAUAAUGUCUCAAAAACACUUUAGAAUCAGCAAACACCCAUAUGAAGAAAGAAGGCAACCUAAGGAAUUAAACUGACAUACUUCAACUAAAUGACAACCUUGGAAUUAAACCUUAAGUACUCAUAUAUGUUUCAAUUUAGCUUGCCAAGUAUACAACCUCAAGUACAGAGCAACAAACUACACCAAAACAAAAUUGAUGUGGUAGACAUGAAGGCCAUAGCAGAACAUCAAAGAAGUAUGAAGUCAGAAUAAGUAUGGGAAGUCAUAAGGCAUCUCUAGCUAAAUAUAGGAGCUUAAUCAUAUAGGUUUUUCAAUUCAGAACAAUGUUCAUCACUGUCACAUAAUAAACAUUUAAUACUAAUUUGACACACACAAUAUCAAAGCAUAAACUUUAAUCAUAAACCAAUAACAACUCACUAUGAGAAGGAACAAUCAAUCAUAAAUUGAUAACAAGCAUCAUAAACAGAGGCAAUCAAUAGAAAGAAACAGUGUGGUUACGAUUUAAAAUAAAAUAAUCAAAAGAGAAAAGGUCAAAGUACACUGCCCUCCUUUCAACCAGCAAACCAAACAAGGAUUUUUCUUAGCCGUACAUGAAAUAAAGAUUAAAACUUUGAACAGUGAAAAAACUCAGAACCAGAAAGAAGAACCAGAAAUCAGUAUGGAACCUAAAACUUUUGUAAAUGAAAUCUUAGUAUUGUCUGUUGUGUUCAUGUUAGGUGUUCUAGAUGAGAGCAUUGAAGGCUCUAUUUAUAGUGGCCAUUAAAGCUUAGGUUUUCUCAAAUUCAAACUCGGUAGUGGAAGAUGACGAAGGAUGGAUGAUGAUAGAAAAGAUGGUGAAAUCAGAGGAAAACAGAGGGAAAAUGAUGAAGUAGUUAUACCUGAGAUGGGGAAUCGACCAUUGAAGGCAGAGAAUCGUCGGACAUAACAUAAAACCCAGAGGUCACUACGGUUGACCUAUGGGUAAAGAUUCCUCAUAAUGAAUCUCUAAGGAUACUCCAUGUAUGCGCCGAUUUGACAGAGCAUAAGAGGAUUUAAGCGAUUUGAAGUUGCAUUCUUAAUCUAGGGUUCCAAAUUUUAGGUGUAUUUAAAUUAAGUGACGAAACGGGGAAGAAAUCAGCGGGGAUUAGCGGCUAGGGAUGAUUUGGUUGUUGAUUUGUUGACCUUGCACGGAUUUAUGCAAGGGUUUGUGACUGAUGGGGCGAGAGCAGGCACGGGAGUAGAGAGCAAAAGGGGAUGGGCGGCUUGAUCAAGGGAAGAAUGAAUUAGGGUUUUGGGGUUUC
rnacentral:lncRNA from 1 species